CAACAGGGAUUGCCCUAGUAACGGCGAGUGAAGCGGCAACAGCUCAAAUUUGAAAUCUGGCUCUUUUAGAGUCCGAGUUGUAAUUUGCAGAGGGCGCUUUGGCUUUGGCAGCGGUCCAAGUUCCUUGGAACAGGACGUCACAGAGGGUGAGAAUCCCGUACGUGGUCGCUGGCUAUUGCCGUGUAAAGCCCCUUCGACGAGUCGAGUUGUUUGGGAAUGCAGCUCUAAAUGGGAGGUACAUUUCUUCUAAAGCUAAAUAUUGGCCAGAGACCGAUAGCGCACAAGUAGAGUGAUCGAAAGAUGAAAAGCACUUUGGAAAGAGAGUCAAACAGCACGUGAAAUUGUUAAAAGGGAAGCGCUUGCAGCCAGACUUGCUUGCAGUUGCUCAUCCGGGCUUUUGCCCGGUGCACUCUUCUGUAGGCAGGCCAGCAUCAGUUUGGGCGGUAGGAUAAAGGUCUCUGUCACGUACCUCCUUUCGGGGAGGCCUUAUAGGGGAGACGACAUACUACCAGCCUGGACUGAGGUCCGCGCAUCUGCUAGGAUGCUGGCGUAAUGGCUGUAAGCGGCCCGUCUUGAAACACGGACCAAGGAGUCUAACAUCUAUGCGAGUGUUUGGGUGUCAAGCCCGAGCGCGUAAUGAAAGUGAACGGAGGUGGGAACCCGCAAGGGUGCACCAUCGACCGAUCCUGAUGUCUUCGGAAGGAUUUGAGUAAGAGCAUGGCUGUUGGGACCCGAAAGAUGGUGAACUAUGCUUGAAUAGGGUGAAGCCAGAGGAAACUCUGGUGGAGGCUCGCAGCGGUUCUGACGUGCAAAUCGAUCGUCAAAUUUGGCAUAGGGCGAAAGACUAAUCGA
rnacentral:rRNA from 1 species